GUUCAUGUAGCUUAAUAAAGCAAAAUACUGAAAAUGCUUAGAUGGAUUUUUAAUCCCAUAGACA
rnacentral:tRNA from 1 species